rnacentral:rRNA from 1 species
GCCCUUACUCCUACGGGAGGCAGCAGUAGGGAAUAUUGGUCAAUGGGCGAGAGCCUGAACCAGCCAUGCCGCGUGCAGGAAGACGGCCUUCUGGGUUGUAAACUGCUUUUAUACGGGAAGAAAAUGCCCUUGCGAGGGAAAUUGCCGGUACCGUAUGAAUAAGCACCGGCUAACUCCGUGCCAGCAGCCGCGGUAAUACGGAGGGUGCAAGCGUUGUCCGGAUUUAUUGGGUUUAAAGGGUGCGUAGGCGGGUCUUUAAGGUCAGUGGUGAAAGCCUGCAGCUCAACUGUAGAACUGCCAUUGAUACUGGAGGCCUUGAGUGUACUAGAGGUAGGCGGAAUUUAUGGUGUAGCGGUGAAAUGCAUAGAUACCAUAAAGAACACCGAUAGCGUAGGCAGCUUACUGGAGUACAACUGACCGCUGAGGCACGAAAGCAU